rnacentral:rRNA from 1 species
UCCAGACUCCUACGGGAGGCAGCAGUGAGGAAUAUUGGUCAAUGGGCGAGAGCCUGAACCAGCCAAGUCGCGUGAGGGAGGACGGCCCUACGGGUUGUAAAUCUCUUUUGCCGGGGGACAAACGGCGGCACGCGUGCCGUCCUGAGGGUACCCGGAGAAAAAGCAUCGGCUAACUCCGUGCCGGCAGCCGCGGUAAUACGGAGGAUGCGAGCGUUAUCCGGAUUUAUUGGGUUUAAAGGGUGCGCAGGCGGAUUUUUAAGUCAGCGGUAAAAUCGUGGGGCUCAACCCCAUCCAGCCGUUGAAACUGGGGAUCUAGAGUGUGCGAGAGGUAUGCGGAAUGCGUGGUGUAGCGGUGAAAUGCAUAGAUAUCACGAAGAACUCCGAUUGCGAAGGCAGCCUACUAAACUGCCACUGACAUUGAUGCUCGAAAGUGUGGGUAUCAAACAGGAUUAGAUACCCCAGUA